CUUUCCCUCUUUCUUCCUGCCUAACACAUGCAAGUCGAACGGUAACAGGAAGCAGCUUGCUGCUUUGCUGACGAGUGGCGGACGGGUGAGUAAUGUCUGGGAAACUGCCCGAUGGAGGGGGAUAACUACUGGAAACGGUAGCUAAUAACGCAUAACGUCGCAAGACCAAAGAGGGGGACCUUAGGGCCUCUUGCCAUCGGAUGUGCCCAGAUGGGAUUAGCUAGUAGGUGGGGUAACGGCUCACCUAGGCGACGAUCCCUAGCUGGUCUGAGAGGAUGACCAGCCACACUGGAACUGAGACACGGUCCAGACUCCUACGGGAGGCAGCAGUGGGGAAUAUUGCACAAUGGGCGCAAGCCUGAUGCAGCCAUGCCGCGUGUAUGAAGAAGGCCUUCGGGUUGUAAAGUACUUUCAGCGGGGAGGAAGGGAGUAAAGUUAAUACCUUUGCUCAUUGACGUUACCCGCAGAAGAAGCACCGGCUAACUCCGUG
rnacentral:rRNA from 1 species